UUUAAUUUUUAAUCCCCACCUAAGCAUUACUGCAUUAGCAUUCAUUUCCACAAACAUCUAUUGCGCAGUAUACCACAGUUCAAUUUUAAAACGCAAAAUUCCCCAAAACCCUUGCUUUCAUUCACUGUUCUCUGUUGGUCUGUGUAAUUCCACACCUUAAAAAUGCAAACUUUGAACUAAAAGAAACAAAAAGAUAGCAUUUUGGUGUAGAAACAACUGCUUCAAGCUCAAGCACCUUCCAAAUCAAAUUGUUCAAAAACAAUACCUUGCCAUACCAAAUGCUUCUUCUAACAAUUCAAAUGCUCCACACCACACACCAACCCAUGUGUUGUAGAAAAGCCUUGCUGGGUAAUUCACAGUGGAUCCAUUAGUUUUUGCAACAAUUUCAGGUUAGGUCAGGUCAGUAAUGACUUGGAUUUUGUAGUUUGCUGAUUAUUUGGGAAUUGUAUCAAUUUAUUUAUUUUUGUCUAAUUGGGUAUUUUGUAUUUUCUUUUUCUUGGUUAGAUUCAAUUAUUUGUGCUAUGGUGUAGCUUGUGGAUCACUUGGCAUUUGGUGAAACUGAGAAUGCCUCAUUGUAUUUCGUUUUUUGGAGGUGGUACUAAUGGGUAGUAAUUCAAUUCAGGUUAUAAGAGUGAAGUGGUGUUAGGUAAUGGAUGCAGAGUGAAUGGUAAUGAUAUGAGGGUGUGAAUUGUUAGUUAUCUUGGGCAUAAAAAAGAAAACUUUUUUUUGGAGGGAGGGAGUUGUUAUAUUAAGAUUUGGAUGAUCUAUAUGAUGAAUUCUUGAAAUUUCAGGCUGCAAAGAAUGAUAAGGACUCAAAUGGGUCACAUUUGAAUGGACAAAUCCAAGCCCUUGUUGAUAUGCUUGUGGCAGAGGAAGUUUUAAUUUUGGGAUGCACUGAUUAUGCAAUUUGAGGUGACUUUGCAAAAAGGAGAUUGCAAAAAAGUUCACAUUUUAAGGGAAAACUCAAAACUAUAGAAGGUCGAGAACCAUCACCACCAGCUUGAUUGAUGAGUGCCAGAUUUGAAGAAGUUAGCUUCCAAACUGCUAAACAGAUUCACCAUGAAAGUCAAAAAAUGUGAAAGACAAAGUAGAGUAAUCAGGUGUGUGUGUGUGUGUUGCAACUUCAGGUUUAAUGUGAUAUUUUGAAACACAUCUCAGACACCAUAUAAAUAUUGAACACAUCUUUAGCAACUUCAGGAAGAUGCUAAAGAACUAAAAAAAGAGGAUCUGACUACAAAUAGAAUGGUGAU